rnacentral:rRNA from 1 species
CCUACGGGUGGCAGCAGGGGGGGAUAUUGCACAAUGGGGGAAACCCUGAUGCAGCGACGCCGCGUGGGUGAAGAAGUAUUUCGGUAUGUAAAGCCCUAUCAGCAGGGAAGAAAGAAGACGGUACCUGACUAAGAAGCCCCGGCUAACUACGUGCCAGCAGCCGCGGUAAUACGUAGGGGGCGGGCGUUAUCCGGAUUCACUGGGUGGAAAGGGAGCGUAGACGGCGGGGCAAGCCAGGAGUGAAAGCCCGGGGCCCAACCCCUGGACUGCUCUUGGCACUGGGCGGCGGGAGUGCGGGAGGGGCAGGCGGAAUGCCUGGUGUAGCGGUGAAAUGCGUAGAUAUCAGGAGGAACACCGGCGGCGAAGGCGGCCUGCUGGACCGCGACUGACGUUGAGGCUCGAAAGCGUGGGGAGCGAACAGGAUUAGAUACCCGGGUAGUC